GAUGAAGAACGUAGCGAAAUGCGAUAAGUAAUGUGAAUUGCAGAAUUCAGUGAAUCAUCGAAUCUUUGAACGCAUCUUGCGCUCCUUGGUAUUCUGAGGAGCAUGCCUGUUUGAGUGUCAUUAAAUUCUCAACUACACUGACUUUGAAUUGGUGUGGCUUGGAUUUGGGGGGAAAAUUGUUGUGGGCUUUUUGUAUAGUCUGCUCCCCUGAAAUUGAUUAGCGGUACCUUUGUGGAACUGUCUACAGGUGUGAUAAUUAUCUACAUCUUAGACAUCUGAUGGAAUGCUGCUCUCUAAACCUUCCUUGUAUUGACAAUCUUGACCUCAAAUCAGGUAGGACUACCCGCUGAACUUAAGCAUAUCAAUAAGCGGAGGA
rnacentral:misc_RNA from 1 species